rnacentral:lncRNA from 1 species
UACAAACAAAACCAAUACAACCAAAACUAGAAGGAAAGCAAAAAAUUGGGGAAAAUCUUUAUAACAAAAACCUCUGACAAAGGUCUAAUUUCUCAAAUGUAUAAGGAGCUAAAUCAAUUGUACAAAAAAUCAAGCCAUUUCCCAAUUGAUAAAUGGUCAAGGGAUGUGAAUAGGCAGUUUUCAGAUAAAGAAAUCAAAACUAUCAAUAAGCACAUGAAAAAGUAUUCUAAAUCUCUCAUAAUUAGAGAAAUGCAAAUCAAAACAACUCUGAGGUACCAUCUCACACCUAGCAGAUUGGCCAAUAUGAAAGAAAAGUAAUAAAUGUUGGAGGGGAUGUGGCAAAAUAAGAACAUUAAUGCAUUGCUGGUGGAGUUGUAAAUUCAUCUAACCAUUCUGGAAAGCAAUUUGGAACUAUGCCCAAAGGACAUUAAAAGUCUUGCUACCCUUUGAUCCAGCCAUACAGAGAUAAUAGGAAAAAAUACGUGUUCAAAAAUAUUCAUAGCUGUGCUCUUUGUGGUGGCAAAAAAACUGGAAAAUGAGGGGAUGCCCUUCCAUUGGGGGAUGGCUGAACAAAUUGUGAUAUCAAAUGGUGAUGGAAUACUAUUGUGCUAAAAGGAAUAAUGAACUACAGGAAUUCCAUGUGAACUGGAAUUCCUCCAGGUAUUGAUGCAGAGUGAAGGGAGCAGAACCAGGAGAACACAAUCAAAUGUAAUUGACCUCUCUACUAGCAGCAAUGCAAUGAUCCAUGACAAUUCUGAGGUCUCAAGACUAGUCCACGAUGUCUCCUAUUCCUACUAAUCUUCCAAGAACCUCUGAAUGAAAAAGUCCUGUGUUUAUACACAGGGGUUUAAUUUCUGCAGCACUUCUACCUUGCCAAUUAGCCCAGAUCCAGCAAUUAUUGAUCUCCACCUGCUCCUAUCUCCACUCAGAUCAAUAUUCCUUUCUGGUUCACAACCUCACCAACCAUCUCAGUUUUACUUCCUUCCGGGUGUUGAAGGUGGGAGGAGUGUUGGCUUCCCAGUCUGGAUUUGGAGUGCCUCUUCUUGGUUCAGCCCAAAGACACAGACCCAAUCAGCUCUUGAAGAACUGGCUUAA